AGCGAACGCUGGCUGCAGGCCUAACACAUGCAAGUCGAACGAACCUUUCGGGGUUAGUGGCGGACGGGUGAGUAACACGUUGGAACUUGCCCUUAGGUUCGGAAUAACUCAGGGAAACUUGUGUUCAUACCGAAUGUGCCCUUCGGGGGAAAGAUUUAUCGCCUUUAGAGCGGCCCGAGUCUGAUUAGCUAGUUGGUUGAGGUAAUGUCUCACCAAGGCGACGAUCAGUAGAUGGUCUGAGAGGAUGAUCUGCCACAUUGGGACUGAGACACGGCCCAAAAUCCUACGGGAGGCAGCAGUGGGGAAUCUUGCGCAAUGGGCGAAAGCGUGACGCAGCCAUGCCGCGUGAAUGAUGAAGGUCUUAGGAUUGUAAAAUUCUUUCACCGGGGACGAUAAUGACGGUACCCGGAGAAGAAGCACCGGCUAACUUCGUG
rnacentral:rRNA from 1 species